GUUGGGCCUGAUCCAAAAUCCACUGAAGUCAGUGGAAAGACUCAUUGACUUCAGUGGACUUUGGAUCAGGCCCAGAGGAC
rnacentral:pre_miRNA from 1 species